rnacentral:rRNA from 1 species
UACGUAGGGGGCAAGCGUUGUCCGGAUUUAUUGGGCGUAAAGAGCGUGUAGGCGGUUUGGUAGGUCCGCUGUGAAAACUCGAGGCUCAACCUCGAGACGCCGGUGGAAACUGUCGAGCUAGAGUCCGGAAGAGGCGAGUGGAAUUCCUGGUGUGGCGGUGAAAUGCGCAGAUAUCAGGAGGAACACCAAUGGCGAAGGCAGCUCGCUGGGACGGUACUGACGCUGUGACGCGAAAGCGUGGGGAGCGAACAGG